AACCUCCGCAAUGUGAGAAAUCGCGACGGGGGGAUCCCAAGUGCCAUUCUUAACGGGAUGGCUUUUCAUUAGUGUAAAGAGCUUUUGGAAUAAGGGCUGGGCAAGACCGGUGCCAGCCGCCGCGGUAACACCGGCAGCUCUAGUGGGUAGCAGUUUUUAUUGGGCCUAAAGCGUCCGUAGCCGGUUUAAUAAGUCUCUGGUGAAAUCCUGUAGCUUAACUGUGGGAAUUGCUGGAGAUACUAUUAGACUUGAGACCGGGAGAGGUUAGAGGUACUCCCAGGGUAGAGGUGAAAUUCUGUAAUCCUGGGAGGACCGCCUGUUGCGAAGGCGUCUAACUGGAACGGUUCUGACGGUGAGGGCGAAAAGUUAGGGGCGCGAACCGGAUUAGAUACCCGGGUAGUCCUAACUGUAAACGAUGCGGACUUGGUGUUGGGGUGGCUUUGAACUGCUCCAGUGCCGAAGGGAAGCUGUUAAGUCCGCCGCCUGGGAAGUACGGUCGCAAGACUAAAAGGUAAAGUUAGU
rnacentral:rRNA from 1 species